rnacentral:rRNA from 1 species
GACGAACGCUGGCGGCGUGCCUAAUACAUGCAAGUAGAACGCACAGUUUAUACCGUAGCUUGCUACACCAUAGACUGUGAGUUGCGAACGGGUGAGUAACGCGUAGGUAACCUGCCUGGUAGCGGGGGAUAACUAUUGGAAACGAUAGCUAAUACCGCAUAAUAUUAAUUAUUGCAUGAUAAUUAAUUGAAAGGUGCAAUUGUACCACUACCAGAUGGACCUGCGUUGUAUUAGCUAGUAGGUGAGGUAACGGCUCACCUAGGCGACGAUACAUAGCCGACCUGAGAGGGUGAUCGGCCACACUGGGACUGAGACACGGCCCAGACUCCUACGGGAGGCAGCAGUAGGGAAGCUUCGGCAAUGGACGAAAGUCUGACCGAGCAACGCCGCGUGAGUGAAGAAGGUUUUCGGAUCGUAAAGCUCUGAUGUAAGAGAAGAACGGGUGUGAGAGUGGAAAGUUCACACUGUGACGGUAUCUUACCAGAAAGGGACGGCUAACUACGUG